rnacentral:rRNA from 1 species
AGCUCCAAUAGCGUAUAUUAAAGUUGUUGCGGUUAAAAAGCUCGUAGUUGGAUUUCUGUUGAAGACCGGCGGUCCACCUUUUGGGUGAGUAUCUGCUUGGGCUUCGGCAUCUUCUCGAAAAACGUUGCGGCGCUUGAUUGCGUGGUGCGGAGUUCGGGACUUUUACUUUGAGGAAAUUAGAGUGUUCACGGCAGGCAUACGCCUUGAAUAUAUUAGCAUGGAAUAAUAAUAUAGGAUCUUGGUUCUAUUUUGUUGGUUUCUAGAGCUAAGAUAAUGAUUAAUAGGGACAAUUGGGGGCAUUCGUAUUAUACCGUCAGAGGUGAAAUUCUUGGAUUGGUAUACGACGAACUACUGCGAAAGCAUUUGCCAAGGAUGUUUUCA